UACGGAGGGUGCAAGCGUUAUCCGGAUUCACUGGGUUUAAAGGGUGCGUAGGUGGGUUGGUAAGUCAGUGGUGAAAUCUCCGAGCUUAACUUGGAAACUGCCGUUGAUACUAUCAAUCUUGAAUACCGUGGAGGUCAGCGGAAUAUGUCAUGUAGCGGUGAAAUGCUUAGAUAUGACAUAGAACACCAAUUGCGAAGGCAGCUGGCUACACGAAUAUUGACACUGAUGCACGAAAGCGUGGGGAUCAAACAGG
rnacentral:rRNA from 1 species